AUGGGGGAUUCUGCAUGAGUCCUCUGACCCACCCCCACUCGCUCCCAUGGUCCUCCCAUGCAUGCCCCACCAAGGCCAGCUCUGGCCCUUUAAGAAAAAAAACCCUGAAAAAACUCCCAGACUCACCGUUCCUGCCGGGGAGGGGGGGCAAUACCUGCUGCUGCCCCUCAUCAGGUUGGGGACUUCACAUGAGUCAGCCCCCCCCCCAAAGCCCCAAGGCUGCUGCAGGAGCGGUUGAUUGUUGGAAGGCAUGGGGCUUAAUAUUAAUCUGAACCAUUGCUUCGUCAAAUGCCACCUUGUCAUAUCCAGGUAUAAAGUCUUUCCUGGUAUGGUUUCUGGGUCCUGGCUGCCAAGAGGCUUCUCCUGAAUGAAGAAGUACUGUAAUGUGGACUGCCAUUCAGUGUCUUUUCAAUGAUAUAGUGCAGUCCAGGAAUCUAUCCUGGUCCCAUGGAGAAAAAGCUUCAAGCAGAUGGGGCAUCAUCUGAAGACACCUGACUGCUGCCUCCAAUGCUGUGCGGAUUUUUUCUUUUCCGUUGACUCUAAUGUAAAAUUCCUCAACAACAUUGGAAGCAAGUGUUCAUUUUUCUCCCCAUCAGGACAGCAUUUGCUUCCCUGACAAAGUGGCUUCUACUUGCUUGUUCACCUACUGCCUUCAUAACACUCUCCUCAUGGCUGCCAAGCACCUUAGCUUCAACAUAAUGGCAUUUUGACUCUUGCCUGGUCUCUGGCCUGAUGCUUAGGUUGCUACUCUUGGAUGUGGAAAAUUAGAGUUCAAAUCCUUGUCAUGAUCCUAGACUCUGGGUCUCUCAGCUAUCCUCAGCAACUGCCUUAACUACUAGGGAAAACACCUCAAAAAACCACUAUGUAUAAAUUGUUUUUGCUCACCUACCAUUCCCACACUUCCCUGCCAAGGCACAGCAUAGGCAAAGCCCCUUGGCUUGGCAGUCCAUUGCAAUAUGUUGAUGAUCCUUGUUUAGGAGGUCACUUAUGAAAGCAGGAUUAAGGAUCCUAGAAAUGGUGAGAAGUCACACCACAUGUUAUUUUAACAUGUACCGUAGGCAGCUCUUUCAUCUCAGCCUGGGAAGUGCCUUUCAGUAAUAUGAUGGAAGCUUUAAUAUUCAGGAAAUAUAACAGUAAUAUAAUGCCAGUUCACAUUGCCAUGUAGUACCAGUGGAAGGAGGGGUGAAAUAGCCUAACAGCUGUCUUGUAACUGUGAAGCUAAUAACUCUGUGUUGAUCAUUUUUUCUCUGUUCUUGUGUUGGGUGGAGAGACAGCUUUGUUUUUAGUUCAUGGUAAUAAGUCCAUGAAUUGAAGAGUGAGUUUGGAGACCUACCUUAUUGCUGAUCAAAACUGAAAAGAAACCAUGAGGUCACAUGAUGAAUAUUGUUAUAGACAUGAACACCACUGAGCAAAGAAACUGUGGUAUGUCAGCAAUAGGCCUCAUUAGGCUAACAGCAUAGAUUCUAUGUGAACCAAGAAAAAAGAAGUUUAUUUUAGACUGAAAACUACCUACCUGCCAAGACUCAUAAUCAGAUUGUUUCUUUCUUAUUGCUCCUUAUGGAAUCUGGCCCUUAUAGGAGAUGUGCUGUUAACAUAUAUUUCUAGAAAUUGAAGAUGCCAUACUUUUCAAUGGGAUAAAGUGACUUGAAAAACCUUCACUUCCAACAUUCCCCAAAAAUUGAACCAUGCCUCAUCUUUUUCAUUUGUAAGAAUAAACCUUUAAAGAAAA